rnacentral:misc_RNA from 1 species
GAACUGCGAUAAGUAGUGUGAAUUGCAGAACUCCGCGAAUCAUCAAACCUUUGAACGCAUCUUGCGCCUGUAGGGAAAUCUGCAGGCAUGCCUGUUUGAGCACGGUUUUCCAUUAUCAACAAAAACUCUAAACGGGUUUUUUUUGGACCUUGAGGGUCGGAGUGAACAAAGGUUGAGGGAAAUUUCUCCCUACAAUCUACAUCACUCCGUCUCUUUAAAUGAAUUGUUUUGGCAAAAUUGUGAAUUCACAGCGGAACUAAACUAUAUCUGAUGGAAACACUUGGAUAUAGUCUGCUAAACGGAAUCACAGUGCCAAAAAAAAGAAAGAGAACAGCAUCGAAGCUGGAAAGUAUAAGGUCACUGCAAAGAAGCAAACCAAAACUCGAUCUCAAAUCAGGCA